GCCCACAGCUCAGACACCCAUACAUACCCCACAAGACAUGCCACCAGAGGUCUGUUUAAACUACUGGCACACAGCUCAGACACCCAUCCAUACCCCACAAGACAUGCCACCAGAGGUCUCUUCACAGUCCCCAAGUCCAGAACAGACUAUGGGAGGAGCACAGUACUACAUAGAGCCAUGACUACAUGGAACUCUAUUCCACAUCAGGUAACUGAUGCAAGAAGUAGAAUGAGAUUUAAACAACAGAUUAAAAAUACACCUUAUGGAGCAGCAGGGACUGUGAAGAGACACACACAGGUAAACAUUUACACCUGAUAAAACAAGCACUCUACAAACACGUACACAUGGAUGCUGUAUUGUAGAUAUGUGGCCUGAGGUAACACACUAAAUGUAUUGUAGAUAUGUGGCCUGAGGUAACACACUAAAUGUAUUGUAGAUAUGUGGCCUGAGGUAACACACUAAAUGUAUUGUAGUUAUGAGGCCUGAGGUAAAACACUAAAUGUAUUGUAGAUAUGUGGCCUGAGGUAAUACACUAAAUGUAUUGUAGUUAUGAGGCCUGAGGUAAAACACUAAAUGUAUUGUAGUUAUGUGGCCUGAGGUAACCCACUAAAUGUAUUGUAGUUAUGAGGCCUGAGGUAACCCACUAAAUGUAUUGUAGAUAUGUGGCCUGAGGUAAAACACUAAAUGUAUUGUAGAUAUGUGGCCUGAGGUAACACACUAAAUGUGUUGUAGUUAUGAGGCCUGAGGUAACACACUAAAUGUAUUGUAGAUAUGAGGUAGUAGUGGUCUAAGGUAACACACUAAAUGUAUUGUAGUUAUGUGGUAGUAGUGGUCUGAGGUAACACACUAAAUGUAUUGUAGUUAUGUGGCCUGAGGUAACACACUAAAUGUAUUGUAGAUAUGAGGCCUGAGGUAACACACUAAAUGUAUUGUAGAUAUGUGGUAGUAGUGGUCUGAGGUAACACACUAAAUGUAUUGUGAAAAGUGUUAUGAAAUGUUAUUGUCAUGUAAUAUUUUAAAUUGUAUAUAACUUCCCUAAUGUUGCUGGACCCCAGGAAGAGUAGCUGCUGCAUUGGCAGGAACUAAUGGGGAUCCAUAAUAAACCCCAGGAAGAGUAGCUGCUGCCUUGGCAGGAACUAAUGGGGAUCCAUAAUAAACCC
rnacentral:lncRNA from 1 species